rnacentral:rRNA from 1 species
UACGUAGGGGGCAAGCGUUGUCCGGAUUUAUUGGGCGUAAAGAGCGUGUAGGCGGCUUUACAGGUCCGUUGUGAAAACUCGAGGCUCAACCUCGAGACGCCGGUGGAAACCGUAAAGCUAGAGUCCGGAAGAGGAGAGUGGAAUUCCUGGUGUAGCGGUGAAAUGCGCAGAUAUCAGGAGGAACACCGGUGGCGAAGGCGGGUCUCUGGGCCGAUACUGACGCUGAGGAGCGAAAGCGUGGGGAGCAAACAGG